CGGUACGUACUGGCAUUGUUGGUUUCUCCCUUCUGACGAACCAUGAUGUCAUUUAUUUGGUGUUGUGGGGAAUCAGGACUGUUACUUUGAAAAAAUUAGAGUGUUUAAAGCAGGCUCACGCUUGAAUACAUUAGCAUGGAAUAAUGAAAUAGGACGUUUGAUUCUAUUUUGUUGGUUUCUAGGAUCGACGUAAUGAUUAAUAGGGAUAGUUGGGGGCAUUAGUAUUCAAUUGUCAGAGGUGAAAUUCUUGGAUUUAUUGAAGACUAACUACUGCGAAAGCAUUUGCCAAGGAUGUUUUCAUUAGUCAAGAACGAAAGUUAGGGGAUCGAAGACGAUCAGAUACCGUCGUAGUCUUAACCAUAAACUAUGCCGACUAGGGAUCGGAUGAUGUUAAUUUUUUAAUGACUCAUUCGGCGCCUUACG
rnacentral:rRNA from 1 species